rnacentral:rRNA from 1 species
AUGGACUCUGAUGAGGAGGAAGAGCUCGCCGCCCUGCUUGAGGAGGAAGCCGCGGCCGACGUCCAGGAAGAAGAGCAUCUGAUGGUGCUCGCCGCCCUCGCCCAGCUGCUGGCGAGCACUGAAAAGCCGCGGCGAGGUGGCUCGGCGCCGGGGCGGGUGAAAGCAAAGAACCGGCAUCGUCUGCAAGGCUACUGCAUGCUCUACUCCGACUACUUCGCCGAUGCUCCACUUCAUGGCGAGAAAACAUUUCGGUGCCGUUAUCGGAUGAGCCGAAAGCUCUUCCUCAGGAUUGUGAAUUCCAUCUGGGAGUUCGACAACUACUUCAAGUGCAAGAUGGAUUGCACUGGCGCUCUUGGAUUCACCUCCAUCCAGAAGUGCACGACAGCGAUGAGGAUGCUUGCAUAUGGAGCUUCCAGUGAUUCACUCGACGACUAUGGGCGCAUGGCCGAGUCCACCAGCAUAGAGUGUUUCUACAAGUUCUGUCGGGCAGUGGUGGCAGUGUUUGGGCCACAAUACUUGAGAACACCCAAUGCGGAAGACACCGCUCGGAUCCUAGCCCAGAAUGCAGCAAGAGGAUUUCCUGGGAUGUUUGGAAGCAUCGACUACAUGCAUUGGAAAUGGAAGAACUGCCCAUUUGGUUGGCAGGGGAUAUACAAAGGCGCCAAAGGCGGUUGCAGUGUGGUGCUUGAGGCGGUAGCCACAGAGGACCUCUGGAUUUGGCACUCCUUCUUUGGUAUGCCAGGAACUCACAAUGACAUCAAUGUGCUGCAGUGCUCUCCUGUUUUUGCUAAGCUCGUUGAGGGCCAUUCUCCUCCGGUGAACUUCGAGAUCAAUGGGCACCAAUACAAUAAGGGGUACUACCUAGCAGAUGGCAUCUAUCCGAGAUGGUCGACAUUUGUGAAGUCGAUCUCAAACCCUGUGGCAGGAGGCAAGAACGCCUGGUUUGCGAAGCUUCAGGAGGCUUGCAGGAAGGAUGUCGAGCGGGCAUUUGGUGUGCUCCAAUCUCGAUUCGCUGUUGUUCGGUACCCCGCUCAGACCUGGUUGAAAGAUCAAAUGUGGGAGAUCAUGUCUUGCUGUGUCAUCUUGCACAACAUGAUCAUCGAGAGCGAGCAAGAAGACCCAGUGUUUGACACUGAACCAUACUACAGGCAUGGUCCUCUAGCUGAAGUUGAUCACCAGCUACCGGGAACUUGGACUACCUAUCUCAGUAUGCGUCAGGAGAUCCGAGACCCACAGGUGCAUCAGCAACUGCAGAAAGAUCUGAUUGAGCACCUAUGGAGGCUCAAGGGGGACGCCGUGUGA